UACAGAGGGUGCAAGCGUUGUUCGGAAUUAUUGGGCGUAAAGCGCGUGUAGGCGGCAGCGCAAGUCGGAUGUGAAAUCCCAUGGCUCAACCAUGGAAGUGCACCCGAAACUGCGUCGCUAGAGUCCUGGAGAGGAAGGUGGAAUGCUUGGUGUAGAGGUGAAAUUCGUAGAUAUCAAGCGGAACACCGGUGGCGAAGGCGGCCUUCUGGACAGUGACUGACGCUGAGACGCGAAAGCGUGGGGAGCAAACAGG
rnacentral:rRNA from 1 species